rnacentral:rRNA from 1 species
AACGAACGCUGGCGGCAUGCCUAACACAUGCAAGUCGAACGAGACCUUCGGGUCUAGUGGCGCACGGGUGCGUAACGCGUGGGAACCUGCCCUUAGGUUCGGAAUAACUCCCCGAAAGGGGUGCUAUACCGGAUAAUGUCUUCGGACCAAAGAUUUAUCGCCUUUGGAUGGGCCCGCGUUGGAUUAGCUAGUUGGUAGGGUAAAAGCCUACCAAGGCGACGAUCCAUAGCUGGUCUGAGAGGAUGAUCAGCCACACUGGGACUGAGACACGGCCCAGACUCCUACGGGAGGCAGCAGCGGGGAAUAUUGGACAAUGGGCGAAAGCCUGAUCCAGCAAUGCCGCGUGAGUGAUGAAGGCCUUAGGGUUGUAAAGCUCUUUUACCCGGGAUGAUAAUGACAGUACCGGGAGAAUAAGCUCCGGCUAACUCCGUG